GAAAUGGCCCUGCGCAAUAGAAAGUUGUGAACCUCGUCAGGUCCGGAAGGAAGCAGCGAUAAGCAUCCUACUAUGUGCCGCAGCAAGUCGUUUCCCG
rnacentral:SRP_RNA from 1 species